rnacentral:lncRNA from 1 species
AAACAUGCUAAAGGUCAUUUGCAAUAUAUUGAAAGCAUAUAGUAUGAAACAUUUAUCUUUUUGACAGUUCAUAUAUUUACAUAAAAGAAGAACAAAGUGCAACUAUAGAUAUAAGUUGGCAAUGCAACAAUUGAUGAUUAUUAGUUGAACUUAUGAACUUAUAGUAGAAGCAAUUAAUAUUUACGUAAUAAAUAUUAAUCUAGAGAACUAAAUCAACAAUGAAAUAUAUGCCCAUCGGGAUUGAUAGUAUUAUCUCAUUAUGCAUUCUAGGACGCUGGAUCAACUUGAUAACGUUCGGAUUCUGAGAUGCGAUUCUUGUAUCUGCGGAUGAAAUCUUCAGCUCUCCUGUUAAUAUUGGGCUCAGCAACACCCCAGUUACCUUUGUCUUCAUCGCUAGGCCAAGUCUUGCGCCCACAAUCAUCAUAGUAUCCUGCCCUAGACUUAUUCUUAGAUGUGAAGCAAUUGAAAAUUGAGAAGAAACCUGAAGAAGACUUGUUCUGCCUAUUACCAUCUCCCAUGGUGAUUAAUGGCUAAGUUUUUU